ensembl:lncRNA
CCCCCCCCACCGACCGUCUCCUCGAAGGAGCACUUCAUGAGCGGCCCGGUGUCCUGCCGGUUGACGCCGUGCCGGGUGAUGGCCAUCAGGUGCCCACGGGACGUCAUGGUGUCGCACAGCAGGGCCAGGUGACGGUAGUUGACGUAGGAACCAUCGAAGGAGAUGACGUGGUACAGCUCCCGCUCCAGAGCCUUCCGCACCGCCUCGAUGCCCAACACCUGCACAGGAAGGGGGGGGGGGGGACAACGUCACCCCAACAGCCGGAGGAGGGGGGCGGGGGGGGGGACACCUGGAAGGCUGCGGUGUCACCCCACACCAACCGCUGGAGGAAUGUCCCAACAGCUAAUGGAAGGGGACACCUGGAAUGCUAUAGGGUCACCCCAUGGACUGUCCCCAACACUUAAUGGAAGGGGACACCUGGAACGUUGUAGGGGCACCCCAACACCCCAAGAACCGUCCCCAUAUCCCCCAACACCUGGUGGAAGGUGACACCUGGAAUGCUAUAGGGUCACCCCAUGGACUGUCCCCAACACUUAAUGGAAGGGGACAACUGGAACGUUGUAGGGGCACCCCAACACCCCAUGGACUGUCCCCAACUCUUCAUGGAAGGGGACACCUGGAAUGCUAUAGGGUCACCCCAUGGACUGUCCCCAACACUUAAUGGAAGGGGACACCUGGAAUGCUAUAGGGUCACCCCAUGGACUGUCCCCAACACCUAAUGGAAGGGGACACCUGGAAUGCUAUAGGGUCACCCCAUGGACUGUCCCCAACACUUAAUGGAAGGGGACAACUGGAACGUUGUAGGGGCACCCCAACACCCCAAGAACCAUCCCCAUAUCCCCCAACACCUAACAGAAGGUGACAACUGGAACCCUGUAGCGUCACCCCAACAACCCCAAGGACUGUCCCCAACUCUUCAUGGAAGGGGACACCUGGAAUGCUAUAGGGUCACCCCAUGGACUGUCCCCAACACUUAAUGGAAGGGGACACCUGGAAUGCUAUAGGGUCACCCCAUGGACUGUCCCCAACACUUAAUGGAAGGGGACAACUGGAACGUUGUAGGGGCACCCCAACACCCCAAGAACCGUCCCCAUAUCCCCCAACACCUAACAGAAGGUGACAACUGGAACGUUGUAGGGUCACCCCAACACCCCCAAGGACUGUCCCCCAACACCUAAUGGAAGGGGACACCUGGAAUGCUAUAGGGUCACCCCAUGGACUGUCCCCAACACUUAAUGGAAGGGGACAACUGGAAUGCUGUAGUGUCACCCCAACACCCCAUGGACUGUCCCCAACACCUAAUGGAAGGGGACACCUGGAAUGCUAUAGGGUCACCCCAUGGACUGUCCCCAACACCUAAUGGAAGGGGACACCUGGAACGUUGUAGGGGCACCCCAACACCCCCAAGGACUGUCCCCAAACACCUAACAGAAGGUGACAACUGGAACCCUGUAGCGUCACCCCAACAACCCCAAGGACUGUCCCCAACACCGAAUGGAAGGGGACACCUGGAAUGCUAUAGGGUCACCCCAUGGACUGUCCCCAACACUUAAUGGAAGGGGACACCUGGAAUGCUGUAGUGUCACCCCAACACCCCAUGGACUGUCCCCAACACCUAAUGGAAGGGGACACCUGGAAUGCUAUAGGGUCACCCCAUGGACUGUCCCCAACACUUAAUGGAAGGGGACAACUGGAACGUUGUAGUGUCACCCCAACACCCCAAGGACUGUCCCCCAACACCUAAUGGAAGGGGACACCUGGAAUGCUAUAGGGUCACCCCAUGGACUGUCCCCAACACUUAAUGGAAGGGGACAACUGGAAUGCUGUAGGGUCACCCCAACACCCACAAGGACUGUCCCCAACACUUAAUGGAAGGGGACACCUGGAAUGCUGUAGUGUCACCCCAACACCCCCAAGGACUGUCCCCAACACUUAAUGGAAGGGGACAACUGGAACGUUGUAGUGUCACCCCAACACCCCCAAGGACUGUCCCCCAACACUUAAUGGAAGGGGACACCUGGAAUGCUAUAGGGUCACCCCAUGGACUGUCCCCAACACUUAAUGGAAGGGGACAACUGGAACGUUGUAGUGUCACCCCAACACCCCAAGGACUGUCCCCCAACACCUAAUGGAAGGGGACACCUGGAAUGCUAUAGGGUCACCCCAUGGACUGUCCCCAACACUUAAUGGAAGGGGACAACUGGAACGUUGUAGGGGCACCCCAACACCCCAUGGACUGUCCCCAACACUUAAUGGAAGGGGACACCUGGAACGUUGUAGGGGCACCCCAACACUCCCAAGGACUGUCCCCAACACCUAAUGGAAGGGGACACCUGGAACGUUGUAGGGGCACCCCAACACCCCAUGGACUGUCCCCAACUCUUAAUGGAAGGGGACACCUGGAAUGCUGUAGGGUCACCCCAAAAUCUCAAGGACUGUCCCCCAACACCUAAUGGAAGGGGACACCUGGAAUGCUAUAGGGUCACCCCAUGGACUGUCCCCAACACCUAAUGGAAGGGGACAACUGGAAUGCUGUAGUGUCACCCCAACACCCCAUGGACUGUCCCCAACACCUAAUGGAAGGUGACACCUGGAAUGCUGUAGGGUCACCCCAACACCCCCAAAGACCGUCCCAAACACCUAACAGAAGGUGACAACUGGAACCCUGUAGCGUCACCCCAACAACCCCAAGGACUGUCCCCAACACCUAAUGGAAGGGGACACCUGGAAUGCUAUAGGGUCACCCCAUGGACUGUCCCCAACACUUAAUGGAAGGGGACACCUGGAAUGCUGUAGUGUCACCCCAAAAUCUCAAGGACUGUCCCCCAACACCUGGUGGAAGGUGACACCUGGAAUGCUAUAGGGUCACCCCAUGGACUGUCCCCAACACUUAAUGGAAGGGGACAGCUGGAAUGCUGUAGUGUCACCCCAAAAUCUCAAGGACAGUCCCCAACACCUAAUGGAAGGGGACACCUGGAAUGCUAUAGGGUCACCCCAUGGACUGUCCCCAACACCUAAUGGAAGGGGACACCUGGAAUGCUAUAGGGUCACCCCAUGGACUGUCCCCAACACUUAAUGGAAGGGGACAACUGGAAUGCUGUAGCGUCACCCCAACACCCCAAGAACCGUCCCAUAUCCCCCAACACCUAACAGAAGGUGACAACUGGAACGUUGUAGGGUCACCCCAACACCCCAAGGACUGUCCCCAACACCUAAUGGAAGGGGACACCUGGAAUGCUAUAGGGUCACCCCAUGGACUGUCCCCAACACUUAAUGGAAGGGGACAACUGGAACGUUGUAGGGUCACCCCAACAACCCCAAGGACUGUCCCCAACACCUAAUGGAAGGGGACACCUGGAAUGCUGUAGGGUCACCCCAAAAUCUCAAGGACUGUCCCCCAACACCUAAUGGAAGGGGACACCUGGAAUGCUAUAGGGUCACCCCAUGGACUGUCCCCAACACCUAAUGGAAGGGGACAACUGGAAUGCUGUAGUGUCACCCCAACACCCCAUGGACUGUCCCCAACACUUAAUGGAAGGGGACACCUGGAAUGCUGUAGGGUCACCCCAACACCCCCAAAGACCGUCCCAAACACCUAACAGAAGGUGACAACUGGAACCCUGUAGCGUCACCCCAACAACCCCAAGGACUGUCCCCAACACCUAAUGGAAGGGGACACCUGGAAUGCUAUAGGGUCACCCCAUGGACUGUCCCCAACACUUAAUGGAAGGGGACAACUGGAAUGCUGUAGCGUCACCCCAACACCCCAAGAACCGUCCCAUAUCCCCCAACACCUAACAGAAGGUGACAACUGGAACGUUGUAGGGUCACCCCAACACCCCAAGGACUGUCCCCCAACACCUAAUGGAAGGGGACACCUGGAAUGCUAUAGGGUCACCCCAUGGACUGUCCCCAACACUUAAUGGAAGGGGACAACUGGAACGUUGUAGUGUCACCCCAAAACCCCAAGGACUGUCCCCCAACACCUGGUGGAAGGUGACACCUGGAAUGCUAUAGGGUCACCCCAUGGACUGUCCCCAACACUUAAUGGAAGGGGACAACUGGAACGCUGUAGUGUCACCCCAACACCCCCAAGGACUGUCCCCCAACAGCGAAUGGAAGGGGACACCUGGAAUGCUAUAGGGUCACCCCAUGGACUGUCCCCAACACUUAAUGGAAGGGGACACCUGGAAUGCUGUAGUGUCACCCCAACACCCCAAGAACCGUCCCCAUAUCCCCCAACACCUAACAGAAGGUGACAACUGGAAUGCUGUAGUGUCACCCCAACAACCCCAAGGACUGUCCCCAACACCUAAUGGAAGGGGACACCUGGAACCCUGUAGCGUCACCCCAACACUCCCAAGGACUGUCCCCAACACUUAAUGGAAGGGGACACCUGGAAUGCUGUAGUGUCACCCCAAAAUCUCAAGGACAGUCCCCAACACCUAAUGGAAGGGGACACCUGGAAUGCUAUAGGGUCACCCCAUGGACUGUCCCCAACACUUAAUGGAAGGGGACAACUGGAACAUUGUAGGGGCACCCCAACACCCCAUGGACUGUCCCCAACACUUAAUGGAAGGGGACACCUGGAACGUUGUAGGGGCACCCCAACACCCCAAGGACUGUCCCCAACACUUAAUGGAAGGGGACACCUGGAAUGCUAUAGGGUCACCCCAUGGACUGUCCCCAACACUUAAUGGAAGGAGACAACUGGAACGUUGUAGUGUCACCCCAACACCCCAUGGACUGUCCCCAGCACCGAAUGGAAGGGGACACCUGGAAUGCUGUAGGGUCACCCCAAAAUCUCAAGGACUGUCCCCCAACACCUAAUGGAAGGGGACACCUGGAAUGCUAUAGGGUCACCCCAUGGACUGUCCCCAACACUUAAUGGAAGGGGACACCUGAAAUGCUAUAGGGUCACCCCAUGGACUGUCCCCAACACUUAAUGGAAGGGGACACCUGGAAUGCUGUAGUGUCACCCCAAAAUCUCAAGGACUGUCCCCAAUACCUAAUGGAAGGGAACACCAGGAAUGCUAUGGGGUCACCCCAUGGACUGUCCCCAACACUUAAUGGAAGGGGACACCUGGAAUGCUGUAGGGUCACCCCAACAACCCCAAGGACUGUCCCCCAACACCUAAUGGAAGGGUACACCUGGAAUGCUAUAGGGUCACCCCAUGGACUGUCCCCAACUCUUAAUGGAAGGGAACACCUGGAAUGCUGUAGUGUCACCCCAACACCCCCAAGGACUGUCCCCCAACAGCGAAUGGAAGGGGACACCUGGAAUGCUAUAGGGUCACCCCAUGGACUGUCCCCAACACUUAAUGGAAGGGGACACCUGGAAUGCUGUAGUGUCACCCCAAAAUCUCAAGGACUGUCCCCCAACACCUAAUGGAAGGGGACACCUGGAAUGCUAUAGGGUCACCCCAUAGACUGUCCCCAACACUUACUGGAAGGGGACAACUGGAAUGCUGUAGGGUCACCCCAACACCCCCAAAGACCGCCCCAAACACCUAACAGAAGGUGACAACUGGAACCCUGUAGCGUCACCCCAACAACCCCAAGGACUGUCCCCAACUCUUAAUGGAAGGGGACACCUGGAACGUUGUAGGGGCACCCCAACACCCCAUGGACUGUCCCCAACACUUAAUGGAAGGGGACAACUGGAACGUUGUAGGGUCACCCCAACACCCCAAGAACCGUCCCCAUAUCCCCCAACACCUAACAGAAGGUGACAACUGGAACGUUGGAGGGUCACCCCAACACCCCAAGGACUGUCCCCAACACCUAAUGGAAGGGGACACCUGGAAUGCUAUAGGGUCACCCCAAGGACUGUCCCCAACACCUAAUGGAAGGGGACACCUGGAAUGCUAUAGGGUCACCCCAAGGACUGUCCCCAACACUUAAUGGAAGGUGACACCUGGAAUGCUGUAGGGUCACCCCAACACCCCCAAGGACUGUCCACCAACAUCUAAUGGAAGGGGACACCUGGAAUGCUAUAGGGUCACCCCAUGGACUGUCCCCAACACUUAAUGGAAGGGGACACCUGGAAUGCUGUAGGGUCACCCCAACACCCCCAAAGACCGCCCCAAACACCUAACAGAAGGUGACAACUGGAACCCUGUAGCGUCACCCCAACAACUCCAAGGACUGUCCCCAACACUUAAUGGAAGGGGACACCUGGAACGCUGUAGGGGCACCCCAACACCCC